GAGGACUGUAAUUGGCCCUAGAAGAGGCAUUGAUCUGUCCUGCCACACCAUGUUUUUCUUUCUCUCACCCGUGACCCCACUCCUGAUGUUAGAAAUUUAUUGAGAGGAGAGAUUGAUUAGAAGCUUGCACUUACUAAAAGCUCAAUGAGCAUAUGUUGAAUAAAGGCAGAUAAAAUUGCACCAACCAUAUAUGUCUGAAGCCAUUUCCUUCUCCAGGGAAUCUUCCCGACCCAGAGAUCGAACCCCAGUCUCCUGCAUUGGAAGCAGAUUCUUUACCAUCUGAGCCACAAGGAAAACCCACUUUUGUACUGCAGAGGCAUAGAUAUUACUGGGCAACAUACAUACCCACUGAGGUGCCUAUGUUCAGAAGUGUCGCCAGUUGGAUGGAAAGAUGCUACCGUUGCUGGGGAAAUGUCACUGUUAGAGAAUAGAAAACUAUUAUUCCAAAGAGGACUGAAGACUGACUGAAUCAGGUCUGGAACAUUAUUGAAAUGCCCUUCCAGUUUUUCCCUUUGCUGAUAUUCUCCCAGGAUGUUGAUGGGAUGUUGAUGUUGACCUGAAGUUCUCUGGUCACCUUCUUAGUAAACUUUGAUUAUAGAUUCUGGAUGAAAACCCAUCUCAUCUCUCUGAAAAAUGCUCAAGUUCCCCAUAUCAUCUGUCUCUUCUGAAUGUUACUCCAUGGAUGACUUACCUGCUUAUUUUUCCUUUUCUCCACUCUCCUCCCAUUUGCUUCAGAUAUUGUUGUAAGUUUCUAGCAUCUGUCUUCAUGUCUCUAAUUCUCUUUCCUCCUUGUAAGUGAGGUGCUUUAUCUUGCUUUAAAGCUACUUAAGCAUUUCUUCCCAACUCAAAACCAUUUCAUUAAAUGCAAAACUGAUCAUUGUUGAUUAUUUUAUAUGAAAGAACAGAUAUAUUCCUGACCAUAAGCUAGUGGUUCCACAUUUUAGUCCAUGAACUUGGUGUAAUUUUCUAUAUUUAAAACAAAUGAACAGUUACAUUGUACAUGAUAAAUCUUUUCUUGUGCCAAGUGGUCAAGAUCUAAUCUCAGCUUGGAGAAGAGUUUCUAAUCCUUGACUUGACUUUGCUGACGUUUGGGCUGGGUGAUUCUUUGUUUGGGGGUGCGUAGAGUGUUCAACAACAUCUCUGACCUCUGCCUAUCAGAUUCCAGUAGCACUUCCCAGUUGUGACCACAAAACAGGUCUCCAGAUAUUGCCAAAUAUCUGCUAUGGGGUGAGAGAGUCCCACAUGGAGAGCCCAUGGGUUUAGUGGAGUGCCCUGUGCUUUCUGCAGAGUGAUGUCUAAGAGAUAGGUCAGAACUUAAGGCAGGAUGGAGAAGGCCUUUCCUUGAAAUCCCUCUUCAUCCACCUAGACUCAUAGGAGAGGUCCCUAUUUCCACCCUGACUCUGGACCGCUGUGCAUCUACCAUGAACUUCCAAAUGGCUCUCAGAGCAGCCCUCUUGGCUCUGCUCUC
rnacentral:lncRNA from 1 species